rnacentral:rRNA from 2 species
UCAGUGUGUGUGUUAGUGGAAGCGUCUGGAAAGGCGCGCGAUACAGGGUGACAGCCCCGUACACAAAAAUGCACAUGCUGUGAGCUCGAUGAGUAGGGCGGGACACGUGGUAUCCUGUCUGAAUAUGGGGGGACCAUCCUCCAAGGCUAAAUACUCCUGACUGACCGAUAGUGAACCAGUACCGUGAGGGAAAGGCGAAAAGAACCCCGGCGAGGGGAGUGAAAAAGAACCUGAAACCGUGUACGUACAAGCAGUGGGAGCACGCUUAGGCGUGUGACUGCGUACCUUUUGUAUAAUGGGUCAGCGACUUAUAUUCUGUAGCAAGGUUAACCGAAUAGGGGAGCCGAAGGGAAACCGAGUCUUAACUGGGCGUUAAGUUGCAGGGUAUAGACCCGAAACCCGGUGAUCUAGCCAUGGGCAGGUUGAAGGUUGGGUAACACUAACUGGAGGACCGAACCGACUAAUGUUGAAAAAUUAGCGGAUGACUUGUGGCUGGGGGUGAAAGGCCAAUCAAACCGGGAGAUAGCUGGUUCUCCCCGAAAGCUAUUUAGGUAGCGCCUCGUGAAUUCAUCUCCGGGGGUAGAGCACUGUUUCGGCAAGGGGGUCAUCCCGACUUACCAACCCGAUGCAAACUGCGAAUACCGGAGAAUGUUAUCACGGGAGACACACGGCGGGUGCUAACGUCCGUCGUGAAGAGGGAAACAACCCAGACCGCCAGCUAAGGUCCCAAAGUCAUGGUUAAGUGGGAAACGAUGUGGGAAGGCCCAGACAGCCAGGAUGUUGGCUUAGAAGCAGCCAUCAUUUAAAGAAAGCGUAAUAGCUCACUGGUCGAGUCGGCCUGCGCGGAAGAUGUAACGGGGCUAAACCAUGCACCGAAGCUGCGGCAGCGACGCUUAUGCGUUGUUGGGUAGGGGAGCGUUCUGUAAGCCUGCGAAGGUGUGCUGUGAGGCAUGCUGGAGGUAUCAGAAGUGCGAAUGCUGACAUAAGUAACGAUAAAGCGGGUGAAAAGCCCGCUCGCCGGAAGACCAAGGGUUCCUGUCCAACGUUAAUCGGGGCAGGGUGAGUCGACCCCUAAGGCGAGGCCGAAAGGCGUAGUCGAUGGGAAACAGGUUAAUAUUCCUGUACUUGGUGUUACUGCGAAGGGGGGACGGAGAAGGCUAUGUUGGCCGGGCGACGGUUGUCCCGGUUUAAGCGUGUAGGCUGGUUUUCCAGGCAAAUCCGGAAAAUCAAGGCUGAGGCGUGAUGACGAGGUACUACGGUGCUGAAGCAACAAAUGCCCUGCUUCCAGGAAAAGCCUCUAAGCAUCAGGUAACAUCAAAUCGUACCCCAAACCGACACAGGUGGUCAGGUAGAGAAUACCAAGGCGCUUGAGAGAACUCGGGUGAAGGAACUAGGCAAAAUGGUGCCGUAACUUCGGGAGAAGGCACGCUGAUAUGUAGGUGAAGUCCCUUGCGGAUGGAGCUGAAAUCAGUCGAAGAUACCAGCUGGCUGCAACUGUUUAUUAAAAACACAGCACUGUGCAAACACGAAAGUGGACGUAUACGGUGUGACGCCUGCCCGGUGCCGGAAGGUUAAUUGAUGGGGUUAGCGGUAACGCGAAGCUCUUGAUCGAAGCCCCGGUAAACGGCGGCCGUAACUAUAACGGUCCUAAGGUAGCGAAAUUCCUUGUCGGGUAAGUUCCGACCUGCACGAAUGGCGUAAUGAUGGCCAGGCUGUCUCCACCCGAGACUCAGUGAAAUUGAACUCGCUGUGAAGAUGCAGUGUACCCGCGGCAAGACGGAAAGACCCCGUGAACCUUUACUAUAGCUUGACACUGAACAUUGAGCCUUGAUGUGUAGGAUAGGUGGGAGGCUUUGAAGUGUGGACGCCAGUCUGCAUGGAGCCGACCUUGAAAUACCACCCUUUAAUGUUU